AGAGGGAACGGGUGGAGCAGAGAGAGAGGCGGCAUUCACAGCACUAAGGUUGCCAAGCAGAAAGCAAAUUCUCCCUGUGUUUAAAAUAUCUUGGGGCGCCUGGGUGGCGCAGUCGGUUAAGCGUCCGACUUCAGCC